GGCCGGUUAGCUCAGACGGUAGAGCGCGAGAUUUUGAAUACUGAGGUCAAGGGUUCAAGUCCCUUAUCGGGCG
rnacentral:tRNA from 1 species